rnacentral:lncRNA from 1 species
CUGGGCGGAGCCGGAGUUGCGAGCCGCUGCCUAGAGGCCGAGGAGCUCACAGCUAUGGGCUGGAGGCCCCGGAGAGCUCGGGGGACCCCGUUGCUGCUGCUGCUACUACUGCUGCUGCUCUGGCCAGUGCCAAGCGCCGGGGUGCUUCAAGGACAUAUCCCUGGGCAGCCAGUCACCCCGCACUGGGUCCUGGAUGGACAACCCUGGCGCGCCGUCAGCCUGGAGGAGCCGGUCUCGAAGCCAGACAUGGGGCUGGUGGCCCUGGAGGCUGAAGGCCAGGAGCUCCUGCUUGAGCUGGAGAAGAACCACAGGCUGCUGGCCCCAGGAUACAUAGAAACCCACUACAGCCCAGAUGGGCAGCCAGUGGUGCUGGCCCCCAACCACACGGUGAGAUGCUUCCAUGGGCUCUGGGAUGCACCCCCAGAGGUACCCCCCACCAUUCCUACCCCUACUCCUCCUUGCAUUCCUAAGGGGAGGUUGGAGCCAGCUCCUACCACACCCUCCCUCUUGCCCCUCUUGCUCCAGCCCUGACUGAGAUUUGGGGCUGGCCCCUUCCUCCCUAGGAUCAUUGCCACUACCAAGGGCGAGUAAGGGGCUUCCCCGACUCCUGGGUAGUCCUCUGCACCUGCUCUGGGAUGAGGUGAGCUCUGGGAGAGGAGGCUGGGCCUGGGAUGGGGAAAGAGCUCCCUCACACCCGCUCCUACCCCUCUGCACCCUAGUGGCCUGAUCACCCUCAGCAGGAAUGCCAGCUAUUAUCUGCGUCCCUGGCCACCCCGG